rnacentral:rRNA from 1 species
UACAGAGGAUGCAAGCGUUAUCCGGAAUGAUUGGGCGUAAAGCGUCUGUAGGUGGCUUUUUAAGUCCGCCGUCAAAUCCCAGGGCUCAACUCUGGACAGGCGGUGGAAACUACCAAGCUGGAGUACGGUAGGGGCAGAGGGAAUUUCCGGUGGAGCGGUGAAAUGCGUAGAGAUGUGGAGGAACACCAGUGGCGAAGGCGACUCUUUGGUCUGUAACUGACGCUGAGGCGCGAAAGCGUGGGGAGCAAACAGG